GAUGAACGCUGGCGGCGUGCCUAACACAUGCAAGUCGAGCGGAGAUUACGGACGGAAGUUUUCGGAUGGAAGACUGUAAUUCUUAGUGGCGGACGGGUGAGUAACGCGUGGGCAACCUGCCCUAUACAGGGGGAUAGCAGCUGGAAACGGCUGGUAAGACCGCAUAAGUCGGUUAAAUCGCAUGAUUUGAUCGGGAAAUGAGCAAUCAGGUAUAGGAUGGGCCCGCGUCCGAUUAGCCAGUUGGCAGGGUAAAAGCCUACCAAAGCGACGAUCGGUAGCCGGACUGAGAGGUCGGACGGCCACAUUGGGACUGAGACACGGCCCAAACUCCUACGGGAGGCAGCAGUGGGGGAUAUUGCACAAUGGAGGAAACUCUGAUGCAGCGACGCCGCGUGAGUGAAGAAGUAUUUCGGUAUGUAAAGCUCUAUCAGCAGGGAAGAUGAUGACGGUACCUGACUAAGAAGCCCCGGCUAACUACGU
rnacentral:rRNA from 1 species